UUUUCAUAUUUUAAACAUAAACAACCAGCAUAAAAACAUGUGUGAUAACAAUUGGAUACAUUUAGCAAGUCUUGAAGAAAAUGUGCAAGCAACAAUUAGACUUGUUGUUAAUACUGAUGGAAUUCCUGUUUUUAAAUUAUCAAAGUGGACCUUGUGGCCUUUGCUAGCAUCCAUUCAUAAUUUUCCAUAUUCAUUGCAAAUUACUAAUAUUUUGUUUUUUGGUUUCUGGUCCAGUUUUAAAAAACCAAGCGUACAAUUAUUUUUAUCUUGUUUUGUUGAUUUUUUACUAACCUAUCCACUACUGGUAGUUUAAUGAUUAUAAUGGUUGCCAUUGGUGUUCUUCUCAAGGGGUAAAAGUUAAAAAAAGAAGACACUGUACUGUUGUAAAUAAUCUUUUAUCUGCAAUCAGUGUGCCAAGCAAUAUAAGACAGACUCGAUGAUCAUUAAGUUGUAUAAAGCAUUGGAAAGG
rnacentral:lncRNA from 1 species